rnacentral:tRNA from 1 species
GGAUUGUGGCUCAGCGGUAGAGCACUUACCUAACACAGGCGGGAUCUGGGUUCGAUCCUCAGCACCA